GGUGAUAAAAUUUCGCUUACAAUGAGAAUUACCUUUUAGGCACCUUUAUAAAGAGUAAAAUUU
rnacentral:tRNA from 1 species